GACGAACCGUCCAAACGUUAUUCGGAAUUACUGGGCUUAAAGGGUGCGUAGGCGGCCUGACAAGUUGGGUGUGAAAUACCUCGGCUCAACCGAGGAACAGCGCUCAAAACUGUUAGGCUUGAGGGAGAUAGAGGUGAGCGGAACUUAAGGUGGAGCGGUGAAAUGCGUUGAUAUCUUAAGGAACACCCGUGGCGAAAGCGGCUCACUGGAUCUCUUCUGACGCUCAUGCACGAAAGCUAGGGGAGCAAACGGG
rnacentral:rRNA from 1 species